UGGGGAAUUUUGCACAAUGGGGGAAACCCUGAUGCAGCGACGCCGCGUGAUUUAGAAGGCCUUCGGGUUGUAAAAAUCUUUUCUAUGGGAAGAAAAUGACAGUACCAUAGGAAUAAGGACCGGCUAAUUACGUGCCAGCAGCCGCGGUAAUACGUAAGGUCCGAGCGUUGUCCGGAAUCAUUGGGCGUAAAGGGUACGUAGGCGGGUAAGCAAGUUAGAAGUGAAAUCCUAUAGCUCAACUAUAGUAAGCUUUUAAAACUGCUCAUCUUGGGGUAUGGAAGGGCAAGUGGAAUUCCUAGUGUAGCGGUGAAAUGCGCAGAUAUUAGGAGGAAUACCGGUGGCGAAGGCGACUUUCUGGCCAUAACCUGACGCUGAGGUACGAAAGCGUGGGUAGCAAACAGG
rnacentral:rRNA from 1 species